rnacentral:rRNA from 1 species
CCUACGGGAGGCAGCAGUGGGGAAUAUUGCACAAUGGGGGAAACCCUGAUGCAGCAACGCCGCGUGGGUGAAGGAGCUUUUCGGCGCGUAAAGCCCUGUCAGCGGGGAAGAAGAAAGACGGUACCCGACCACGACGCCCCGGCUAACUACGUGCCAGCAGCCGCGGGAAUCCGUAGGGGGCGAGCGUUAUCCGGAAUUACUGGGUGGACAGGGAGCGUAGACGGCGAGGUAAGCCUGAAGUGGAAGCCCGCGGCCCAACCGCGGAACUGCGUGGGGAACUGGUUUGCUGGAGUGUGGGAGGGGUAAGCGGAAUUCCUGGUGUAGCGGUGAAAUGCGUAGAUAUCAGGAGGAACACCGGUGGCGAAGGCGACUUACUGGACCAUAACUGACGUUGAGGCGCGAAAGCGUGGGGAGCGAACAGGAUUAGAUACCCCUGUAGUC